rnacentral:sRNA from 1 species
CGCUUUGAUGGCAUCACCGCCUCGGGAAUCUCUGGGGAUGGUGUUCUCCACCGUCAGGACCUUUGAGCCGCCUGAGCAACUAACUCCUGCGCCCCUGAGGUCACAGCUACUUGGAAGGCUGAGAUGUGAAGACCACUUGAGCUCAGAAGUUCCACUGCACUCCAGCCUGGGUUACAGAGGGAAACCUUGUCUCUAAAAAAAAAAGAAAAAAGAAAGAAAAAGAAAACAUAGGACAUUUUAUUCAGAAAUUAAAUCAUUCAGAGUUCCAGCACUGUCGGGGGUCAUCGGGCUCUGUCCACCGCCUUAGGCCUAGCAUUGUCACCAACGGAGCCAUGAAGGGACCUUGGCCCAAGCUGGGGCCUCUUCAUCGUCGAAGGCCUCUGGCCAGACCAGGCUCUGUGGGCGUGGCCAGGCUGGAGGACUAGGGCGGUGGCAGUGGCCAGGAGGAGGACUGAGCUUAUCUGACUCCAGAGCUUUCAGGAGGGAAGAAAGAUGUCAGAUGAAGAUGAUCUAGCAGACUCUGAGCCAGACCAGGAUGAUUCUGAGAAAGAAGAGGACGAGAAGGAGACAGAGGAGGGGGAGGACUACAGAAAAGAGGGGGAAGAGUUCCCUGAGGAAGGACCUUACAGACAUCUACUUGCUGCGCUCCUACAUCCAUCUGCGCUAUGUGGAUAUUUCUGAGAACCACCUGACAGACCUGUCUCCACUCAACUACCUCACCCAC